AUUGAACGCUGGCGGCAUGCUUUACACAUGCAAGUCGAACGGUAACAGGGUGCUUGCACCGCUGACGAGUGGCGAACGGGUGAGUAAUGCGUCGGAACGUGCCGAGUAGUGGGGGAUAACGCAUCGAAAGGUGUGCUAAUACCGCAUACGUACUGAGGUAGAAAGUGGGGGACCUUCGGGCCUCACGCUAUUCGAGCGGCCGACGUCUGAUUAGCUAGUUGGUGAGGUAAAGGCUCACCAAGGCGACGAUCAGUAGCGGGUCUGAGAGGAUGAUCCGCCACACUGGGACUGAGACACGGCCCAGACUCCUACGGGAGGCAGCAGUGGGGAAUUUUGGACAAUGGGCGCAAGCCUGAUCCAGCCAUGCCGCGUGUGUGAAGAAGGCCUUCGGGUUGUAAAGCACUUUCAGUAGGGAGGAAGAGUUGAGUGUUAAUAGUACUCAGCUUUGACGUUACCUACAGAAGAAGCACCGGCUAACUCUGUGCCAGCAGCCGCAGUAACAC
rnacentral:rRNA from 1 species